ensembl:miRNA
AGGUGAGAGGAUUGCUUAAGCCCGGGAGAUUGAGGCUGCAGUGAGCUGUGAUCACACCACUGCACUCCAGCCUGAGUGACAGAGCAAGACCUUGUCUCA